UACGUAGGGCGCAAGCGUUGUCCGGAAUUAUUGGGCGUAAAGAGCUCGUAGGCGGCCUGUUGCGUCCGCUGUGAAAUCCCGGGGCUUAACCCCGGGCUUGCAGUGGAUACGGGCAGGCUGGAGGCAGGCAGGGGAGAACGGAAUUCCCGGUGGUAGCGGUGAAAUGCGCAGAUAUCGGGAGGAACACCGGUGGCGAAGGCGGUUCUCUGGGCCUGUACUGACGCUGAGGAGCGAAAGCGUGGGGAGCGAACAGG
rnacentral:rRNA from 1 species